rnacentral:rRNA from 1 species
GCAUAUCAAUAAGCGGAGGAAAAGAAACCAACCGGGAUUGCCCUAGUAACGGCGAGUGAAGCGGCAAGAGCUCAAAUUUGAAAGCUGGCCCCCUCGGGGUCCGCAUUGUAAUUUGCAGAGGAUGCUUCGGGAACGGCCCCCAUCUAAGUGCCCUGGAACGGGCCGUCAUAGAGGGUGAGAAUCCCGUCUGGGAUGGGGUGGCCGCGCCCGUGUGAAGCUCCUUCGACGAGUCGAGUUGUUUGGGAAUGCAGCUCUAAUUGGGUGGUAAAUUUCAUCUAAAGCUAAAUAUUGGCCGGAGACCGAUAGCGCACAAGUAGAGUGAUCGAAAGAUGAAAAGCACUUUGAAAAGAGAGUUAAACAGCACGUGAAAUUGUUGAAAGGGAAGCGCUUGCGACCAGACUCGCCCGCGGGGUUCAGCCGGCACUCGUGCCGGUGUACUUCCCCGCGGGCGGGCCAGCGUCGGUUUGGGCGGCCGGUCAAAGGCCUCUGGAAGGUAACGCCUCUCGGGGCGUCUUAUAGCCAGGGGUGCCAUGCGGCCUGCCCGGACCGAGGAACGCGCUUCGGCUCGGACGCUGGCAUAAUGGUCGUAAGCGACCCGUCUUGAAACACGGACCAAGGAGUCUAACAUCUACGCGAGUGUUCGGGUGUCAAACCCGUGCGCGCAGUGAAAGCGAACGGAGGUGGGAACCCCCCGGGGUGCACCAUCGACCGAUCCUGAUGUCUUCGGAUGGAUUUGAGUAAGAGCGUAGCUGUUGGGACCCGAAAGAUGGUGAACUAUGCCUGAAUAGGGCGAAGCCAGAGGAAACUCUGGUGGAGGCUCGCAGCGGUUCUGACGUGCAAAUCGAUCGUCAAAUUGGGUAUAGGGGCGAAAGACUAAUCGAAACCAUCUAGUAGCUGGGUUCCUGCCGAA